GGCCCUGUGGCGGAGUGGUUACGCUGGGGAUUGCAAAUCCUCCCACCCCGGUUCGAUUCCGGGCGGGGCCUCCA
rnacentral:tRNA from 1 species